CCCACCUGAACCCAUGCCGAACUCAGAAGUGAAACGCCGUAGCGCCGAUGGUAGUGUGGGGUCUCCCCAUGCGAGAGUAGGACACUGCCAGGC
rnacentral:rRNA from 1 species